rnacentral:rRNA from 1 species
CCUACGGGAGGCAGCAGUGAGGAAUAUUGGUCAAUGGACGAGAGUCUGAACCAGCCAAGUAGCGUGAAGGAGGAAUGCACUAUGGGUUGUAAACUUCUUUUAUAAAGGAAUAAAACGAGGCACGUGUGCCUGUUUGCAUGUACUUUAUGAAUAAGGAUCGGCUAACUCCGUGCCAGCAGCCGCGGUAAUACGGAGGAUCCGAGCGUUAUCCGGAUUUAUUGGGUUUAAAGGGAGCGUAGAUGGGUUGUUAAGUCAGUUGUGAAAGUGUGCGGCUCAACCGUAAAAUUGCAAUUGAUACUGGCAGUCUUGAGUACAGUUGAGGUAGGCGGAAUUCGUGGUGGAGCGGUGAAAUGCUUAGAUAUCACGAAGAACCCCGAUUGCGAAGGCAGCUUACUAAACUGUGACUGACAUUGAUGCUCGAAAGUGUGGGUAUCAAACAGGAUUAGAUACCCUUGUAGUC